rnacentral:lncRNA from 1 species
CAACUAAAACUUGGAGCCCGACGCCCGUGGAAUUUGGCAGUCCUAAAGAAUAUGCUUGCGGCAAGCUUUCCAAUCAUAGAUUCCAGAAAAGAAUGAGCUACGACUAAAGUUGCACAUAAAAUUGUCUACGCAUAGAGAUAUUAGAAUCCACAUUCAUUUGUUUGAAUAGAAAUGCUUGACUUUUGAAGUUCUAAAGUGCACCAUAAAUUGGCCCAGCUCUAAACUUCUGAAAAGCCCUCAUUUUAGCAAAAUUACCAGAGUAAGACCAGAUAGAUUGUCUUUGGCCAUCAAAAGGAGGAAACUGCAAAGCUUUUGUGAUACUAGGAAUACUAGCGGGAUCACAUUUAAGUCAAGUGUCUCUAGUGGAUCAAGACACUGCAACUAGAUGGGAUCCAUCACUAAGUCUUAUCAUCCUCAAUUUUCUCUAAGGUAUGGUUCAAGUGAUAUUAUCCCUCCUUAUCUUGCACUAUCUAUGAUUAAGCUAAAGAAUUGUUUAAAAUAUAUAGAGUUAGAGCAUGGUUUUUGAAAGGAACAAUUUGGAAAGAGAAAUGAGCCCUUCAAUCUUUUGAAAUAAAAAAUCUGUUUUUAGAGGAUCAUAUGGUGUACCUUGAUUUUAGGACUUUCGCAUUCCAGGAGGCACCAUAUCCCCAAGUAACCCUUCAUCCGUGAAUAUACGUCCACUUGGAUCUGAUGGUGCAUGAGAAUGUCCACCUUCACACGAGACGUU